UAAGUAAGACAGACAAUCGCGGCUGUAGUUGCCGAAAGGCAGCAGACGAGGAAAGUCCGGGCUUCACAGGGCAGGAUGCCGGAUAACGUCCGGUGGAGGUGACUCCAAGGCCAGUGCAACAGAAAUAUACCGCGUCAGCAAUGAGCCGUGCAGCUUGUCUGGCAGAAAGUUUUUCCGUAAGCUUGCUUACAUGGAUAAGCUUUCUGCCGGGCAGGUAUACGGCGAAUGCCGCGUAACCGAUAGCGCUUUGCGCCUCCGGUUUCUGCGGUACUUAUCUGGCGUAAGGGUGGAAAGGCAGUGUAAGAGACUACCGCCUCUCUGGUAACAGCGAGGGCACAUGUAAACCCCAUCCGAAGCAAGACCGGAAAAAAGCAAUGUGGCUGCCCGUCACGCUUUAGGUAGGUCGCUUGAGUCCGGUGGCGACAUCGGACCUAGAUAGAUGAUUGUCCAACGACAUAACCCGGCUUAUCGUCUUGCUUAACCA
rfam:Lachnospiraceae bacterium CAG:215 genomic scaffold, scf44